rnacentral:lncRNA from 1 species
AGAUGGUACAGAGAACCCCAAACAACCCGAUCUACUAAUCUCCAAUACCACUUUAUACUCACGACCUUGUAUUCACUGACUGUCUUGUUAGAUUAAUCCAAUAAAUUUCAUUCACUCCGCAUACUCAAUCCUAUAGAUACCUUUUUAAUUCUUCAAUCAUAGACGUAACUUCGAUCUCACAAAACAGUCAAGACUAAUCACACCCACUUCAUUAAAAUCCUGAUUCACCAGUACAAUACUGACUUCAGCAACGAUUGCCUCAGUCUUCCCAAAAUCCUAUGAAGAAAAAAAAACCCCAAUUCUCUGUCUUUUUUCCACGCGCAAAGCAUGAAGCUAGCUCUUCGAUCCCUUCUAAAAAACUUAUUCUCUCCCCUUUCCAUUUCUUAACCUAUCAUCCCCUUUAACCCUAAUUCUGCCUUCUUUCAAAUCCUAGCCUCUGAAUUUCUUCAAUCUUCCGUCCUGGAUCCGAAAUUGGCUCUCGCCGUCUGAGCUUUCUCCUCCAUUUUUACCUUUAAGAAAUCUUUUUACUGAAAGAACGUUCCCAGAACGGCACAAAGGACAGAACAGCCUAAAACAGAAUCGAAGCCCCAAAAUCAGGACCACAUUGAGUUGCCCGACCAAUUCAGGUCUCAUAUUGGCUAAGAGGCCCAUAGUAAGACCUGGAUGUUCCCGUAAUUGGACCGCAUUGGCUUGCACGACCAAGUUAGGUCUCAUAUUGGGUAAGAGGACCUAGAUUGGAUGUCUUGAAAUUGGAUCCAAUUGGCUCUUCGAACCAGGCUCACCCGUCGUUGAAUUGGUCCUUUUCCUUUCUGUUAACUCCCGUUAUUGGAAUCGAAUGGAGCAUUUCAGUAUGCCCCGGCUGACUAUAACGGGGUGACUGAACCUGGCCUCUCAGUAUUUGCACUGGAAUUGGUCGUUGCUCCCAAUAUUCGAGGUAACUGAACAUUAAUAAAAGUCCCUUUUCUUUAUAUUUUCACAGUAAACUCGUGUUACAACACGACAAUCGCUAUUUGAUUUAGAAUAUAUUUUCUACGUCUCUGUCUAAUUUGUCUUCGUCACCUUCAUUAUCCAAAUCACUUUCAUCUUCUUGUUGCGUCCCUAACUUACAUAAUUCUCCUUCAAUAUUAUAUAAUCUCUUUUCUUUCUUUUCUUUUAAAAUCAUCAACUUUCUUAUACAUAAUAUUUCUAUUCUCCAAAAUACCAAUAAAACUCGCAUCAAAGGCACCUUCAUCUCGCGAGAGUACCUCCUCUUUUGUAACUCCAUAAUCUCGCUUUACAGUGGUACCUCCCCAAAAUCCUUAAAUCCUUUAACAAUCUUUGGCAAUGGUUUUUCCCUCAACCUAUCUCGAUUCCGUUCAUGGUUAGGAAGUACUGUUAGAAAUUGUACAACUUUCCUCCCAUCCUCGCUACGUACCCUUACAUAAGCAGAACCAUCGUCAACUACUUUUGUUUCCAUCUGUGUUGCCGUAAUAUAAGGUUGUCCUAAAAUCAACAGAUAAGACAUUGUAUCUUGAACAAAGAAAUGUUGCUCCGUCGCAACAUCCCCAAUCCGAAUUUUAACAUCUGGACAAGCUCCAUAUAAUUCGCCUCGUGUGUUAUUAGCUGCUUGUAUUGUCCAUCUAUGUUCCAUAUCAAUUGGCCAUUUUUGCUUCUUAUAAAGAUCUUUAGACAUAAGAUUUAUUUCAGAACCAUAGUCGACUAAAGCAACUAUUGGUUCUUCUAUAUCUCCUACUUUCACCAAUACCUCAGUAGUUGCCCUUGUCCAAUGCUUUCGAGUAUAAUGGCUCAAAGUUUCCAUUUCCUUACCACUAUAAUCUUCGAUACGUACUCGUUGAUUAUACCCAUUCUUUUCAUUUGUUGGUUGCUUGUAACCAAUAUCAACCUCUUCUUCAUCUUUAUAUAUUCUUGCAUCAAUAGUAUGACUCAUUCUAGUUUCGCUCAUUAAUUGCCUCUUUUGCUUAAUGCUGUCAAUGAUAACAUCAUGAAACUCCUUCUUUGUAAUUUCCAAGACUUCUUUCAAUGUGAAUUCCACUUUAGCGUUUAAUAUACAUUCUUCCAACACCCCUUUCAAAUUUGUUGUCGCUUCAAUGUCAGAAAGUAGCUUAUAAGCAAUUGAUUUGCCUUUAUCUUUUGUCUCCUUUAUUUUUUCUCUCAAUGAUGCUGAGGUAUCUUUUACAGGCAAUUCUUGUGAAGCUGCCUCCCGAGCCUUGUCUCCUCGAGUUUGCCUCUUAGAAGAAUUUCCUUCUCUCGUAUCAUCAAAAUUUCCUCGUCUCUUUUCUUCCAUCAAAGCUUCAUGUUGGCUCUUAGCAAUAUAUGCAUGAACUGAAAGAGACUCAACAGGAUCCUCCCAACAUGUUCUACCUUGUAUUGUAGCUGCAGUCCUCAAUAACGCUUCUCGAGGUAAUUUCCCUUCUUGCAUUGUAGAAAUGGCAGAAGCCCAAAACUCACUAAUUUUCGUACUUCCACCAAUUUCAUCAUCUACUCUAGCACCAUAACUUGUACUUUCUCGUGCUGCUGUUUCAUGCUCUUUUAGGUAAUCGUGAACCAAUGCUCUCAUUCCUCCCUUGCCAAAAUUAGUUUGAAGAAGAUCCUCUAUAUCUUUCAAUGCUAUCUUCCCAUCUUUCCAGCAAAUAAUUCCCUGUCGUAUCAUAUUAUUAAAUUCAUUGCAAUCUUUUCUAGUGUGUGAAGCGUCAUCACACCAAAUGCAUCUUUGUACAUAUCCUUGUUUUGAAAUAUUCUUUGAAUUGUUUAUAGAAGUAUUCUCUUCAAGUCUUGCCAAUUUGAUUUGAAGAUCUCGCAUUCCAUGCAUAAUUUCUUCCAUUCCCAUAUCUGCUUUCUUUGAUAAGGAUGUCGAAGGUUGAACUGUAGGCAUUGUUGGUGGUGUUGUAUGUACUGGAGCUUUGGGUGCUUGUACUAUUUUCGGAAUAUUACUCCUAUCCUUCCUCCUUUCUCUUUUUGUAAGCAACCUCACCGCAUCUUCAACGUUCUUCUACUUUGUUGUCAAUCCUUCGUCUUCUUCUUUGUCUUCAAGAAGGAGUUCUAAUUUUCCUUGCAAUUCUCCAUCAACAGCUUGAAGAAAUAGAUCAACUUUGUUCGGCUCCAAUGUCAAUUUUUCUACCUUCGACAAUUGAGAUUAUUGCCUCUCAAAUUCUCUUAGUAGCUUUCUUGCUUGUAAAUUCUUAUUAGGCCAUUCAAUCCAUUCCUGAAACAGCUUCUUAGCAAUGCUGUCGUACUACGUGCUUUCCAACUCGAGAAUGCGCUAGGCGUCUGGCUGUAGAAAGUAGUAUGGAGAUUCGCCAAUAGUCAAGCAGUCUAUCACUUUUUGAUUGUUAGAAUAUAAUCGACUACAAGAAUAUACCGUAAAUCUAUACAGAUGCCCUUCGAUUGCUCGCCGAAGUCCUUUUUGUCCCGGUCAGUAGGUCUCUAAACGUUACAGAGAAUCCCAAACAACCCAAACUGUUAAUCUUUUAUACCGCUUUGUACUUACAAUCUUGUAUCCACUGACUGUCUUGUUAGAUUAACCCAAUAAAUUUCAUUCACUCCGCAUACUCAAUCCUAUAGACACCCUUUUAAUUCUUCAAUCUCAAACGUAACUCGAUUUUACAAAAAAGUCAAGAGUAAUCAAACCCACUUCAUUAAAAAUCUCGAUUCACCAUUACAACACUGACUUCAGCAACGAUUGCCUCAGUCUUUCCAAAAUCCUAUGAAGAAGAAAAAAAAUCCAAUUCUCUGUCUUCUUUCCCCGCCCGAAGCAUGAAGCUCCCUCCCCCGCAAUCUUCAAAAACCUCCCAAAAACUUAUUCUCCCCCUAACCUUAUCCUCUGAAUUUCUUCAAACUUCCAUCUUGGAUCCGAAAUUGGCUCCCGCCGUCAGAGCUUUCUUCUCCGUUUUUACCUUUAAGAGAUCCAUUUAUCGAAAACAACGUUCCCUGAAACGGCAUAGAGAAUAGGACAGCCUGAAAUAGAAUCAAAAUCCCGUACUCGGGUCCACAUUGAGUCGCCCGACCAAUUCAGGUCUCAUAUUGGGUAAGAUGCCCGUAGUAACCUAGAUGUUUGCGUAAUUGGGUCAAAUUGGUCUUCGCGUAAGAUUGACUAAGAGGCCCGUAGUAAGAUCUAGAUGUUCCCGUAAUUGGAUCAAAUUGGUCCUUCGCAUUAGACUGAUUGAGGCCCAUAGUAAGACCUGGAUUUUCCCAUAAUUAGACUGCAUUGGGUUGCGUGACCAAUGUAGGUCUCAUAUUGGGUAAGAGGACCCGGAUUGGAUUCUUGAAAUUGGAUCCAAUUGGCUCUUCGAAUCAGGCUCACCCGUCGUGUGAAUUGGUCCUUUCUCUUCCUGCUGACUCUCGUUAUUGGAAUCGAAUGGAGCAUUUCAGUAUACCCCAGUUGACUGUAACGGAGUGACUGAACUUGGCCACUCAGUAUUUGCACUGGAGUUGGUCAUUGCUCCCAAUAUUUGAGGUAACUGAACAUUAAUAAAAGUCCCCUUUCUUUAUAUUUUCAGGAUAUACUCGUGUUCCAAGACGACAUCCACCCCCUCUGAACCUGUUCAUCCUCCGGUAUGCACCAAUUUACCGAAUUGCUGUUUGAUUUAGAAUAUAUCCUCUACGUCUUUGUCUUAUUUGUCUUUGUCACCUUCAUUAUCCAAAUCACUUUCAUCUUCUUGCUGCGGAAACUCUAUACCUUGAUUAAGGUCUUCCAUAUUCAUCUCCGCGUGUCUUUGUUUAAAUAUUUUUACUCACUUCCCUGCAAUUGGUAUUUUCAAUUUUGUACCAUCUAACUCCCGUAACGAGUAAGUCACAUUAUCAUGAACAGUUGUUACCACAUAUGGUCCAAAUCAACGUUUUGAAAAUUAUUACAAAGUACUAUGUUGAUUAUCCAGACUAUUGUCAUAAACAAGUACCCAGUCACCUUCCUCGAUAAAUUUUGGUCUCUAUCGAUGUUGCUUGUCGAAUCGUGCCUUAUUUUGUAACCUUGUUUUUUUUAACCUUUCCAAUGCUUUUUGCACAUCUUCCGUUCUUUGCUCCAUUUGUCGAAUCCUAACAGCCAGAAGUUCUUCUCUUAUCAAUCCAUCUUCCCAUGGUAGCAUAUUCCAAGUAAGUACCUUUUCUUCAAUCGGCAUAAUUAGUUUUCGACCUAUCAUAAGUUUUACUGGCAUAUAUCCUAUCACCGAACUAUGUGUUCUUCGAUCAGCCCAUAAUGCAAAUGAUAAAAGCCGUGGCCACUCUUUAACUUUCCCAUUACAAGCUUUAACCAAUGCUUUCACAGUCGGUAGGUGACCGCGUUCUCUUUUUGCAUUCCCUUUUGGAUUAUAAGCAGCAGUCAGUGAUAGUUUAAUUCCACAUCUUUCAAAGAACUUACGAGCUUCUUGUGCAUUUAAUUCUCCAUGAUCUGUAGUGAUUUUUCUUACACAUCCGUAGCGGCAAAUGACAUCUUCAAGCAAAAACCUACAAAUCCCCUCUAUAGAUUUUGUCCUCAAUGCUCUUCCUUCUACUUGAUUUGAUAAAUCUUUGCGAGCUAAAACCAAAUAUCUCAUCUGCCACAACCCAACCGGCAUAAUAACCAAAUCAACAAUCCAUUUAAAAUGAAUAGCCAGAGGAUACGUAGGAUGAAGACCAUCUCGAUGUCGGAUAUUAGAAUACGAUUGACAGAUUUCACAUGACUCUACAAAUGAGAGCACAUCUCAAUACAUAUUUUUCCACCAAUAUCGUUGCUUGAGUUUAGCAAAAGUAGCCUAGAUUCCGCAAUGCCCUGCCCAUAAACUAUCAUGAAACUCCUUUAAUAAUUUUAGUUUUUCUUCCUUUUUGUCUAUCACUCGUUGUGGCAUUCCAAUUCCUUUCUUCGGUCUCUUCCAUAAGAAUCCAUCUCAAAGUAAAAAUCCAUAUGCUUUUUUUCUUAUUUGUUUGAAUUUUUCUGUAGACCAAUUCUCCUGUUUAGUCAAGGUAUUCAAGUAAUGACCAAUAUUUAAUAAUUCUCCUUCAUAAGAUUCUUUAAGAAAUAGCUUGUCUUCUCUGUUGAAAUUUGAUAUUGAAUAGAAUUUCAAUCCGACGUCAUCAAUAUCUUCAACCAUUUCGUCCUCCCUCUCGUAUCUUGCUCAAGAUAGCAUGUCUGCUACUAAAUUGUCCUUCCCAGUAACAUGCUUAAAUUCCGGAUUUAGUGACUUAAUUUAAGCAAUCCAUCUCAACAUUGCAAUAUCUGGCAUUGAACAGUUAAUAAUCAUUCCAAGCAAUGGCAAGCAAUCUAUUUCAAUUACUACUACUGCCCCAAUCAAAUAGUCCUUUUCAGCUUUCAUAGCCGAAAUGACUCUCCAAAGUUCUCUUUUGACUUGCGAAUAUGCAUGCUGACGAAUACUUAAAACUUUAGCCCCGAAUCGAACUACAAAUCUAUUCCCAUUUGAAUCAUCUUGACCCACAGCCCAUCCAAUGGCAAUUGAACUAGCGUCCACAGUAAGAAUCACUGGUCUAUUGCACUUAUAAUCAACCUUCCUCAAUAUUGGAGGUGACAUCAAUAAUUUCUUCAAUCUUUGCAUUGCUUGAAUAUGCCUUUCUUCCCAUUUAAAUCAGUAACCCUUGUGUACCAAUUCAUAUAAUGGAUCCCUUUUGUGAACAAAAUGAGGGAUCCAGAUUCGAUAAAAUACACAUGCACCCAAAAACCUGCGAACCUAUGUUAAAGAAUCACAAUCCUCUUUCAUCCUUCCAAUUGCAUCAACUUUAGUCGGAUCUGGUUUUCUUCCGUAAGAUCCACAUAAAUGUCCAACAACUACAACCUCUCGUACUCCAAAUACGGACUUCAUACCCGAUAAUGUAAGAUGAACUUCUCCAAGCCGAGUUAAAAUCUUUUCACAAUCUUGUACAUGAUCAACAACAUAUUUGUAACACCCCCUCGUAUCUAAAGUUUCAUCCUUGUCUCCUUCUCUGCACUCUUUUAUGGGGACAUCAUCCAAAAAAGGCAAAGUCUUUUCCGGAAUAAAAUCUCUCAAUACCUUAUUCAUCCCAUUCAUCAUAUGCGCAACUGAGUUGGUCGCGCCUUGAAGAAGAGUGCACAUUCUAACCAAUCCAAGUGGUGUCCUCAUUGUUGUCAUAUCUCUACUUCCUUCGGCAAGUUGAAAUUGAUCAUAACCUGAAUACAAGUCACCCAUUGAAUAGAUCGUCCUUCCAGCAAACGCCUCAGCAAAUUCAUCCACAAUAGGUCCAAUUCCUGCAUUCCUGACGGUUAUUGCAUUCACCGGUUGCAUAUCUUGAAUAAACCGUAGUGACCCAUUCUUCUUAGGUACCGUAAACCAUCGUCUAGAAUACGGCGCAAACGAAGGUUCAAUUUUUUUCAUCUUUAUCUUUUCUUUUAAUAGCUCAACUAAUUUAGGUAAAUGUGUCCUCGGUAAUGGAAUCGGUCUUAGAUUCUAAGGUACAUGUGGUACAGUGAAGAUAACCAUAGGUGUUACAAUAUUUGGAUCCACACACCCAAUUUCAUCAAAUUCGAAGGCAAACGAUCUACCAUGUUUAGCCAACAUCUUUUUGAAGCAAGUAAUUUCCAUCGGUAAUAAAGAACCAUCAGAAUCAAUCUUCAAUUCUUCAAAAGUCUCUUUAGUAAACUGGUGUCCAAUACUCAUAGGAUCUCUUAAACUUGCUUCUUUUGAUGCUUCUCCCAUUUGUUCUUUAGAAUCUUCUGGUAAUGGCUUUACCUUCUUUAGAAUCUUCUGGUAAUGGUAUUGCCAAUAGGCUUUACCUUCUUAUCUGCCAUUUUAUAUCUCGUCUCUACAGUGACUUCUGGUGCUUGAAAAGAUUCAAGUAUGGUAUAAACCUCUCUUGAAUGAAUCUCAACAAUCCUAUCAUUAUCCCCUAAUCCAAUAGAUGUAAUCAAUUCCAAUGAAUCUUCGAGUCCAUUUUCUUCAUAAACACCUAAAAUCCUCUCAUCAUCUUGCAAUGUACCUAACUUGCGUAAUUGUCCUUCAAUAUCAUAUAAUCUUUUUCUUUCUUUUCUUUUAAAAUCAUCAACUUUCUUAUACAUAAUAUUUCCAUUCUCCAAAAUACCAAUAAAACUCGCAUCAAAGGAACCUUCAUCUCGCGAGAGUACCUCCUCUUUUGUACCUCCAUAAUCUCGCUUUACAGUGGUACCUCCCCAAAAUCCUUAAAUCCUUCAACAAUCUUUGGCAAUGGUUUUUCCCUCAACCUAUCUCGAUUCCGUUCAUGGUUAGGAGGUACUGUUAGAAAUUGUACAACUUUCCUCCCAUCCUCGCUACGUACCCUUGCAUAAGCAGAACCAUCGUCAACUACUUUUGUUUCCAUCCGUGUUUUCGUAAUAUAAGGUUGUUUUAAAAUCAACGAAUAAGACGUUGUAUCUUGAACAAAGAAAUGUUGCUCCGUCGCAACAUCUCCAAUCCAAAUUUUGACAUCUGGAUAAGCUCCAUAUAAUUCACCCCGUAUGUUAUUAGCUGCUCGAAUUGUCCAUCCAUGUUCCAUAUCAAUUGGCCAUUUUUGCUUCUUAUAAAGAUCUUUAGACAUGAGAUUUAUUUCAGAACCAUAGUCGACUAAAGCAACUAUUGGUUCUUCUAUAUCUCCUACUUUCAUCAAUACCUCAGUAGUUGCCCUUGCCCAAUGCUUUCGAGUAUAAUGGCUCAAAGUUUCCAUUUCCUUGUCACUAAAAUCUUUGAAACGUACUCGUUGAUUAUACCCAUUCUUUUCAUUUGUUGGUUGCUUGUAACCAAUAUCAACCUCUUCUUCAUCUCUAUAUAUUCUUGCAUCAAUAGCAUGAUUCAUUCCAGUUUCGCCCAUUAAUUGCCUCUUUUGCUAAAUGCUAUCAAUCAUAACAUCAUAAAACUCCUUCUUUGUAAUUCUCAAGACUUCUUUCAAUGUGAAUUCCACUUUAGCGUUUAAUAUACAUUCUUCCAACACCCCUUUCAAAUUUGUUGCCGCUUCAAUGUCAGAAAGUAGCUUAUAAGUAAUUGAUUUGCCUUUAUCUUUUGUCUCCUUUGUUUUUUCUCCCAAUGAUGCUGAGGUAUCUUUUACAGGCAAUUCUUGUGAAGCUGCCUCCUGAGCCUUGUCUCCUCGAGUUUGCCUCUUAGAAGAAUUUCCUUCUCUCGUAUCAUCAAAAUUUCCUCGUCUCUUUUCUUCCAUCAAAGCUUCAUGUUGGCUCUUAGCAAUAUAUGCAUGAACUGAAAGAGACUCAACAGGAUCCUCCCAACCUGUUCUACCUCGUAUUGUAGCUGCAGUUCUCAAUAACGCUUCUCGAGGUAAUUUCCCUUCUUGCAUUGUAGAAACGGCAGAAGCCCAAAACUCACUAGUUUCCGUACUUCCACCAAUUUCAUCAUCUACUCUAGCACCAUAACUUGUACUUUCUUGUGAUGCUGUUUUAUGCUCUUUUAGGUAAUCGUGAACCAAUGCUCUCAUUCCUCCCUUGCCAAAAUUGGUUUGAAGAAGAUCCUCCCUAUCUUUCAAUGCUAUCUUUCCAUCUUUCCAGCAAAUAAUUCCCUGUCGUAUCAUAUUAUUAAAUUCAUUGCAAUCUUUUCUAGUGUGUGAAGCGUCAUCACACCAAAUGCAUCUUUGUACAUAUCCUUGUUUUGAAAUAUUCUUUGAAUUGUUUAUAGAAGUAUUCUCUUCAAGUCUUGCCAAUUUGAUUUGAAGAUCUCGCAUUCCUCGCAUAAUUUCUUCCAUUCCCAUAUCUGCUUUCUUUGAUAAGGAUGUCGAAGGUUGAACUGUAGGCAUUGUUGGUGGUGUUGUAUGUACUGGAGCUUUGGGUGCUUGUACUAUUUUCGGAAUAUUGCUCCUAUCCUUCCUCCUUUCUCUUUUUGUAAGCAACCUCACCGCAUCUUCAACGUUCUUCUACUUUGUUGUCAAUCCUUCGUCUUCUUCUUUGUCUUCAAGAAGGAGUUCUAAUUUUCCUUGCAAUUCUCCAUCAGCAGCUUGAAGAAAUAGAUCAACUUUGUUCGGCUCCAAUGUCAAUUUUUCUACCUUCGACAAUUGAGAGUAUUACCUCUCAAAUUCCUUUAGUAGCUUUGUUGCUUGCAAAUUCUUAUUGGGCUGUUCAAUCCAUUCCAAGAACAGCUUCUUAGUAACACGAUCAGCAUCUUUUAAGAAAUAUUCGUCUUUCAAUGCAUGUGAAAAAACCUCCCAUGAAUUCCCAUAACGAUCUGUAAUCGAUGUAAUGUGGUCUCUUAUCUCCGGUAUCAUGGCAAGUUCAAAUAAUUCAACCAUUUUCUUCUCAGAAAUCCAAUUUAAUUCCAUUUCAUGAACAUAACAUCUUAAAUACCUUGAAAUAUUCCUCCCAUUAAAUUGAUCAAUUUUAUUGACCACUGCUUGCAAUGCUUUGGUUGCCAAAGCUUCCUUUCGAUCAUUACUUUGUUGUUGCUGCAUUGAUAAUGAGAAGGCUUGAAACAUACUAGCAAUAGACGAAUCCAUGUGCAUACCUUGUCCUUUAGAAGAAUCCCCACUAGGAACUCCUCCCAAAAAUCCUUCAAAAUUUUUAUUUUCGUUUUCCAUAAAAUAAAGAUAAAAUCAACCGAAAUCCAAUACCUUCCACCUUAAGCUUUCACGACGAGUUCACCACUUUUGUCGUAUUAUGUGCUAUCCUGCUCGAGAACGCGCCGGGCGUUUGGCUGUAGAAGGUAGUAUGGAGAUUCGCCAAUAGUCAUGCAGUCUAUCAGUUUUUUAUUGUUAGAAUAUAAACGACUACAAGAAUACACCGUAAAUCUAUACGGAUGCCCUUUGACUGCUCGCCGAAGUGCUUUUUGUCCCGGCCGAUAGGUCUCUAAACGUUACAGAGAAUCCCAAACAACCCAAACUAUUAAUCUUUUAUACCGCUUUGUACUUACAAUCUUGUAUCCACUGACUGUCUUGUUAGAUUAACUCAAUAAAUUUCAUUCACUUUGCAUACUCAAUCCUAUAGACACCCUUUUAAUUCUUCAAUCUCAAACGUAACUUAAUUUCACAAAACAGUCAAGAGUAAUCAAACCCACUUCAUUAAAAAUCCCGAUUCACCAUUACAACACUGACUUCAACAACGAUUGCCUCAGUCUUCCCAAAACCCUAUGAAGAAAAGAAAAAACCCCCCAAUUCUUUGUCUUCUUUCCCCGCCCGAAGCAUGAAGCUCCCUCCCCCCAAUCUUCAAAAACCUCCCAAAAACUUAUUCUCCCCCUAACCUUAUCCUCUGAAUUUCUUCAAUCUUCCAUCUUGGAUCCGAAAUUGGCUCCCACCGUCAGAGCUUUUUUCUCCGUUUUCACCUUUAAGAGAUCCAUUUAUCGAAAAUAAUGUUCUCUGAAACGGCAUAGAGAAUAGGACAGCCUGAAACAGAAUCAAAACCCCAUAUUCGGGUCCACAUUGAGUCGCCCGACCAAUUCAGGUCUCAUAUUGGGUAAGAUGCCCGUAGUAACCCGGAUGUUUGCGUAAUUGGGUCAAAUUGGUCCUCGCGUUAGAUUGGCUAAGAGGCCCGUAGUAAGACCUAGAUGUUCCCGUAAUUGGAACAAAUUGGUCCUUCGCGUCAGACUAGGUGAGGCCCAUAGUAAGACCUGGAUUUUCUCAUAAUUAGACUGCAUUGGGUUGCCUGACCAAUGUAGGUCUCAUAUUGGGUAAGAGGACCCGGAUUGGAUUCUUGAAAUUGGAUCCAAUUCGCUCUUCGAACCAAGCUCACCCGUCGUGUGAAUUGGUCCUUUCUCUUCCUGCUGACUCCCGUUAUUGGAAUCGAAUGGAGCAUUUCAAUAUGCCUCGGCUGACUGUAACGAGGUGACUGAACUUGGCCACUCAGUAUUUGCACUGGAGUUGGUCGUUGCUCCCAAUAUUCGAGGUAACUGAACAUUAAUAAAAGUCCCCUUUCUUUAUAUUUUCACGAUAUAUUCGUGUUACAACAUGACAACGCGAUCAACAUCUUUCAAGAAAUGUUCGUCUUUCAAUGCAUGUGAAAAAACCUCCCAUGAAUUCCUUUAACGAUCCGUAAUCAAUAUAAUAUGGUCUCUUAUCUCCGGUAUCGUGGCAAGUUCAAAUAAUUCAACCAUUUUCUUCUCAGAAACCCGAUUUAAUUCCAUUUCACAAACAUAACAUCUUAAAUACCUUGAAAUAUUCCUUCCAUCAAAUUGAUCAAUUUUAUUGACCACUACUUGCAAUGCUUUGGUUGCCAAAUCUUCCUUUCGAUGAUUGCUUUGUUGUUGCUGCAUUGAUAAUGAGAAGGCUCGAAACAUACUAGCAAUAGACAGAUCCAUGUGCAUACCUUGUCCUUUAGAAGAACCCCUUCUAGAAACUCCUCCCAAAGAUCCUUCAAAAUUUUUAUUUUCGUUUUCCAUAAAAUAAAAAUAAAAUUAAACAAAAUCCAAUACCUUCCACUUCAAGCUUUCACGUCGGGUUCACCACUUAUGUCAUAUUACGUGCUUUCAUGCUCGAGAAUGUGUCGGGCGUCUAGUUGUAAAAGGUAGUAUGGAGAUUCGCUAAUAUUCAAGCACUCUAUCGGUUUUUGACUGUUGGAAUACAAACGAUUGUAAGAAUAUAUCGUAAAUCUAUACGGAUGUCCUUCGACUGCUCACCGAAAUCUUUUUUGCCCCAGUCGGUAGGUCUCUAGACGUUACAGAGAACCCCAAACAACCCGAUCUACUAAUCUCCGAUACCACUUUAUACUCACGACCUUGUAUCCAUUGACUGUCUUGUUAGAUUAAUCCAAUAAAUUUCAUUCACUCUGCAUACUCAAUCCUAUAGAUACCUUUUUAAUUCUUCAAUCAUAGACGUAACUUCGAUCUCACAAAACAGUCAAGAGUAAUCACACCGACUUCAUUAAAAUCCCGAUUAACUAGUACAACACUGACUUCAGUAACGAUUGCCUCAAUCUUCCCAAAAUCCUAUGAAAAAAAAAAAAACCCCAAUUCUCAGUCUUUUUUCUCUGCUCGAAGCGUGAAGCUAGCUCUCCAAUCCCUUCUAAAAAACUUAUUCUCUCUCUUUCCCAUUUCUUAACCUAUCCUCCCCUUUAAUCAUAAUUCUCCCC